UACAGAGGUCCCAAGCGUUGUUCGGAUUUACUGGGCGUAAAGGGUGCGUAGGCGGUUGUUUAAGUCUGACGUGAAAUCUCCGGGCCUAACCCGGAAACUGCGUUGGAUACUAUUCAACUAGAGGAAUGGAGGGGAGACUGGAAUACUUGGUGUAGCAGUGAAAUGCGUAGAUAUCAAGUGGAACACCAGUGGCGAAGGCGAGUCCCUGGACAUUUCCUGACGCUGAGGCACGAAAGCCAGGGGAGCAAACGGG
rnacentral:rRNA from 1 species